AAACUGGUAAAAAACAAAAAAAAAACAGAAAAUAAAAAUGUCUACAUAGAGCCUGCAGGAUAAUAUAGUGUUUUGAUGAUCCUAUUGGAUUUUUAUUAAUGCAAUAUUUUUUUAAUAACCUCAGCCCCCCCCCCAGGUUGGGAACCACUGAGCGAAAACAUCCAGAUGAUGGGCGGAUGAGGAAAGCCUGCCGGUGCAGACAUACCAGUGCAGUCUUAAACCGAAACUGAAUUCGUUGAGGACAAAGAAAGAGGAGGAGAAGCGAGGGAUCGGGGAGGAGCACACACUAUUUAAAGCAGGAGUCACAAAGGAGGCCAGCAUUUUGUCAUUUGGUCAUUAGGUCAAGAUGGCUUUACCAACAUGGAUUUGGGCGCUAACUCUGACAAUUUUAUCAGCACAACUGAUAUCAGCUGAUAAUUCUACCAUGACUGCUCCACCAUCGAAUUCAACAUCUAACCAGACUUCUGCCCCAGCUGCCAUCCAGACUACUGGCUCAGCUGCUAACCAAACUUCUGCCCAAACUACCAUCCAGACGACUCCCUCUGCUGCUUCUACUUCUACUGUCCAAUCGACGACGUCCAGUGCUCCGCAAAUCAUACCAAACAUUGUCUUCACCACCAACGAGAACUUCACCACCGACCUGUUAAACUCCAGCUCAGCCGCUUUCCAGAAUCGGUCCAUCAAGAUCAAGCAGCUCGAACCGUUCAUCCGCUCCGCCUUCCCGAGCUUCAACAGCCUGACCCUGGUCAGCUGCAGCUCAGGCUCGAUCGUCCACAACACGAGUGCGGCAUUCGGGGCCAACGUCACCGUCCCCAACAUCACCAGCAUCUACAGCGUCAUCAGCAACGCAGCGAAGAACCUGACCGCCACCCUGCCCAUCACCUUCGUGAACGGGAUCGCCGUCAACUCGGCGGGGACCGCCAGGACGAGCCUGCUGGCCGCUCCCUGCCUGGUCGUCAAAUUUUAUAUCAUGGUGAUCACCUACAAUACAACUACAAUACUUGCUGUCCCCUCCCCUUCUGUCACCGCCACGGGGCUUUAAAUGGACAAAUGAACUGAUUAGAAAGCAGGGACGUAUGCGACUUCAGGGACACGUGUCUGACUGUGAUUGUUGUCUUCGUUGUUGUAUUAUUUUAUGAUAUUAUUGCUGACUUGUGAAGCUGUGUAAAAAUCACAAUAAACUUUUGAAAUUUGCUCCUUAAUUGAUCGGU
rnacentral:lncRNA from 1 species